rnacentral:rRNA from 1 species
CCCUUAGAUGUCCUGGGCUGCACGCGCGCUACACUGUUCGACGCAGCGAGUCUUAACCUUGACCGAAAGGUUUGGGUAAUCUUCAGCAAAGUCGAACGUGAUGGGGAUCGAUCAUUGCAAUUAUUGAUCGUGAACGAGGAAUUCCUAGUAAGUGCAAGUCAUCAGCUUGCGCUGAUUACGUCCCUGCCCUUUGUACACACCGCCCGUCGCUACUACCGAUUGAAUGGUUUAGUGAGAUCUCUGGAUUGACGCUGGCUAGGGGGCGACCCUUGGCCAGACUGUUGAGAAACUGCUCAAACUUGAUCAUUUAGAGGAAGUAAAAGUCGUAACA